rnacentral:lncRNA from 10 species
CUCAAAUUGCACCUCUGCACUUACUUGCCGAGGGCCCUCGCUGUUUUCUACACUCUCUGGGACUCAGUCUCUUCUCUGUCUAUAAAACAGUAUAGUCACAGCUAUCCUACAAUGUUCCAGUGAGCAUUAAGUGGUAUAUCUCAUGGAAAUUGUCCUAACACACAGAAGUGUGUUUUAGCAAGAUAGAGAAAUAUGGCCCAGGGAAAGGCUGACUUUAGAAAAUCCAAAGCUGUGGAAUCUCUAAGAACCGCCUCUGAGAAGUAACUUUAUAUGGGAAACAAUGUUGACCUCUCUCUACAUUUUUUAUAUUGUAUUUCCUUUCUUGGGCCUGAGAUCCUGGAGAUCUUCCACUCACUUGAAUAGCAAUUUCUUGAACCAUCGCAAUGGCCUGAAUUUAAAUGGAUGGCAGUUGCAGCCAUCUUGUGACUAGAAGAAGAGGAAGCUCCAUACUCAGGGGCUCCAGAACACUAGAGUCACAGUCCUGAGACACAUACCUGGAGGCUGCCCUGCGUGUGGACUUCGGUAUGUUUAAUAAUAAAUUUCUUAAUAUUUUAAGCCAGUUUUAACUGUGUGUCUUACACUUAAAGCCAAAUGUGCUCUAACUGUAAAAAGUAAGAUGGGGGAAUACUAAUUCUCAUUAUAAUCUUCUCCAACCAACUUUUAAAAAAUAAAUUCUACUGUAUAUAUUUGAGGUAUACAACACAAUGUUAUGAGAUAGUAAAACGAUUACUGUAGUAAAGCAAAUUAACAUAUUCAUCAUCUCACAUAGUUAUCUAUUUUUUAUGGCAAACACAGCUAAAAUCUACUCAUUUGGCAAAAAUCCUGAAUACAAUACAAUAUUAUUAACUAUAGUCCUCAUGCUUUAAAUUAGAUCUCUAAACUUGUUCAUCCUGCAUAUCUGCUACUUUAUAUCCUUUGAACUACAUCUUCCCAUUUUCUCCCAGCUUCCAUUGAUUUUCUUC